UAAGGAAUAUUGGUCAAUGGAGGCAACUCUGAACCAGCCAUGCCGCGUGAAGGAUGAAGGUCCUCUGGAUUGUAAACUUCUUUUAUGUGGGAAGAAAUGCAUUCUUUAUAGAGUGUUUGACGGUACCAUAGGAAUAAGCACCGGCUAACUCCGUGCCAGCAGCCGCGGUAAUACGGAGGGUGCGAGCGUUAUCCGGAUUCACUGGGUUUAAAGGGUGCGUAGGUGGGGAAGUAAGUCAGUGGUGAAAUCUCCGUGCUUAACAUGGAAACUGCCAUUGAUACUAUUUUUCUUGAAUUUUCCGGAGGUUAGCGGAAUAUGUCAUGUAGCGGUGAAAUGCUUAGAUAUGACAUAGAACACCAAUUGCGAAGGCAGCUAACUACAGGGAUAUUGACACUGAGGCACGAAAGCGUGGGGAUCAAACAG
rnacentral:rRNA from 1 species